rnacentral:misc_RNA from 1 species
UGUAGGAGUGAGCCUGCUCGCGAUAGCGGUUAUUCAGACACGCCUUCUAACUGACACACCGCUAUCGCGAGCAGGCUCACUCCUACA